UGGGGAAUAUUGGACAAUGGGCGCAAGCCUGAUCCAGCCAUACCGCGUGGGUGAAGAAGGCCUUCGGGUUGUAAAGCCCUUUUGUUGGGAAAGAAAUCCAGCCGGCUAAUACCUGGUUGGGAUGACGGUACCCAAAGAAUAAGCACCGGCUAACUUCGUGCCAGCAGCCGCGGUAAUACGAAGGGUGCAAGCGUUACUCGGAAUUACUGGGCGUAAAGCGUGCGUAGGUGGUCGUUUAAGUCCGUUGUGAAAGCCCUGGGCUCAACCUGGGAACUGCAGUGGAUACUGGGCGACUAGAGUGUGGUAGAGGGUAGCGGAAUUCCUGGUGUAGCAGUGAAAUGCGUAGAGAUCAGGAGGAACAUCCAUGGCGAAGGCAGCUACCUGGACCAACACUGACACUGAGGCACGAAAGCGUGGGGAGCAAACAGGAUUAGAUACCCUGGUAGUCCACGCCCUAAACGAUGCGAACUGGAUGUUGGGUGCAAUUUGGCACGCAGUAUCGAAGCUAACGCGUUAAGUUCGCCGCCUGGGGAGUACGGUCGCAAGACUGAAACUCAAAGGAAUUGACGGGGUCAUAGC
rnacentral:rRNA from 1 species